rnacentral:rRNA from 1 species
GGAAAAGAAAUCAACCGAGAUUCCGAAAGUAGCGGCGAGCGAAAUCGGAACAGCCCUUAAGCUUAUUAUGUGUUAAUGGAAGGCUCUGGAAAGUGCCACGAUACAGGGUGAUAGUCCCGUACAUGAAAAGACAUUUUAAGUGAAAUCGAGUAGGUCGGAGCACGUGAAACUUUGACUGAAUAUAGGUGGACCAUCAUCUAAGGCUAAAUACUCCCAACUGACCGAUAGUGAACCAGUACCGUGAGGGAAAGGCGAAAAGAACCCCUGUGAGGGGAGUGAAAUAGAACCUGAAACCGUGUACGUACAAGCAGUAGGAGCAGACUUGUUCUGUGACUGCGUACCUUUUGUAUAAUGGGUCAGCGACUUAUAUUUUGUAGCGAGGUUAACCGAUUAGGGUAGCCGUAGGGAAACCGAGUCUUAACUGGGCGAAUAGUUGCAAGGUAUAGACCCGAAACCCGGUGAUCUAGCCAUGGGCAGGUUGAAGGUUGAGUAACAUCAACUGGAGGACCGAACCCACUAACGUUGAAAAGUUAGGGGAUGACCUGUGGCUAGGAGUGAAAGGCUAAUCAAACCGGGAGAUAGCUGGUUCUCCCCGAAAUCUAUUUAGGUAGAGCCUCGGACGAAUACUUACGGGGGUAGAGCACUGUUAAGGCUAGGGGGUCAUCCCGACUUACCAACCCUUUGCAAACUCCGAAUACCGUAAAGUACUAUCCGGGAGACACACGGCGGGUGCUAACGUCCGUCGUGAAGAGGGAAACAACCCAGACCGCCAGCUAAGGUCC